CUAGACCUAUCCAUAACCCUAUCCCAGCCAGUUCUAUUGUGUGAGACAAUCACUCAGCAGCUGUGGCCCAUUUGUAAAAGGGAGUGACCUGCAUGCUUAACUCGUGGCUACGUAAGAGACCAUGUCUACCAGGGGAAUUAGCAGAUCAGCUCACAGAGCAACAGAUGUGGCCCACACCCAUUCGAGGGAGAGAGAAAAAAAAACACAUUGCGCAUGGGUCUCCAACUUAACACCACUGUCAACUUAACAGCAAAGCAGUUGCACAAAUUCAUCAAGAAAAGGGAGUUAACGAAAAACGUAUUGUUUGACUUGGAAUGGCACUGACUGACAUCAUCAUGAAGGCAUCAACCACAGCAGGUCCGGCAAUAACCAUGACAUCGCCAGAAGCCUUCGAACAAGGAAUCAUUGAGGACGUCACCCGUCUGGUCACACAGAAUUUCACAGAACACUUCACACAACCCUUCAGAGCUGGAGUUCUGACAACAACUUCUGCAGAUAUGACUGAAACAAACUCAGCCGCUUUUUUAGUGGGAGCCGCCCACGUAGAGGAUGGAUCCUUUGAAGCCAUUUUCGGAGUGGAAGAGUUGAGCUCUCCAACAGCAUCCAUCUGUGAUGAGCAUGUCCUGCACUGAAACCUAGCCACUGAACACCUCUACCCCUGUCCUGCACUGAAACCUAGCCACUGAACACCUCUACCCCUGUCCUGCACUGAAACCUAGCCACUGAACACCUCUACCCCUGUCCUGCACUGAAACCUAGCCACUGAACACCUCUACCCUGUCCUGCACUGAAACCUAGCCACUGAACACCUCUACCCCUGACCUGCACUGAAACCUAGCCACUGAACACCUCUACCCUGUCCUGCACUGAAGCCUCUGAACACCUCAAACCCUGACCUGCACUGAAGUCAAGCCUCUCGAACAACUCAGCUCAUGUCUUAUAACCUCAUUCAGUCACUGCUGUGAUCCCUUCCCAACACU
rnacentral:lncRNA from 1 species